rnacentral:misc_RNA from 1 species
GAUGAAGAACGCAGCGAAAUGCGAUACGUAGUGUGAAUUGCAGAAUUCAGUGAAUCAUCGAAUCUUUGAACGCACAUUGCACCUCUCGGUAUUCCGGGAGGUAUGCCUGUUCGAGCGUCAUUUGUACCCUCAAGCUCUGCUUGGUGUUGGGUGUUUGUUCCGCUUCUGUGUGUGAACUCGCCUCAAAACAAUUGGCAGCCGGCGUACUUGUUUCGGAGCGCAGCACAUUUUGCGAUCCAGAUCAACGUACAGCGGCAUCCAAGAAGCCUUAUUUAACGCUCUUGACCUCGGAUCAGGUAGGGAUACCCGCUGAACUUAAGCAUAUCAAUAGCGGAGGA